rnacentral:lncRNA from 1 species
UAACUCAGACUUACAUAUACAAUCAAUCUAACAUAUAUCUAUCUUCGCAGCUACUUCUCGAGAGGUUUAACUAUUAAUUGCAUCCCUUGAGUUGGCCUGAGGGAGAGCAUAAUAGCAGGCGAAUGACAAUACGAAGGUGACAAAGAGAAAGAAAACCUAGUUAAAAUUAGGGCUAAAACAAUCUUGUACUCCAUGGUGGCCAAGUUUCUACCAACACACAUUCUUCCUCCGAAACCAAAAGGCACAUAACCCAUCUUCUGGUUGCACCCUCCAUGCAUGUCGGCCUCGAACCUCUCCGGCCUGAAGUCAUGGACCGUGUCGCCCCAGAGGCCGGGGUCAUGGUUCAUGGCCACCACGUCGAUCCACAUAUUUGUGCCUUUCGGGAUCGUCACCUCGUCCACUCGAAUAUCAUCUUUUGCCUGUCUUUGGACGUUCGGUGCUGAUGGAUAUAACCUCAGAACUUCACUCAUCACCCAUCCCAUCUGCAAAUUGAAACAACAAUUAAAGAUUAUAACAUGAUCAUAUUCACCGAACAGUCCUACAAAAUCUAUCAUUAAAAAUAAUACAGAAUACCAGUAGUUAUUCUACUAUGAUGUAUUAGUAUUUAAAAUAUGGAUUUAUUAUUUUCCGGCCAAAAUAAUCAGCCAUAUAUAAAUGCGAGUGAGGAUAAUAUAUUCUAGAGCUUUCUUUUGAUGUCGGUUAUAGAAAAAGAGUUUGAGCUGUCAUUAGUUACUCCGAAAUGGACAACUACAGACUGUACAGUCGUUUUCCGAAAUUGGGUGCUAGCAUCACCAUCGGACAGCCCCAUUAUCUAGGUGGAAUGUCAACGUUUGUGUGUUAGUGUUUGUUAUUCCUGAAAAGAAUCUGGGUAACACGUGGAUGCUUUCAACCCUGACCACACAAUGUACACGCGCAUUGAACGCAUAUUCCACUCACAUAUUUGCAUGCAUCUCCCACUCACACCCAUGCAAAAAAAAAAANUCUUGUCCUGAGUAUUCAAUGAGAUUUUAAAAGAUUUUUAUUCAUUCAUGAAAUUAGUGUGCAUUCAAUUGAGAUUUUUAAAAUCAGUUAAAAUCUUGGUAUAUUCAAUUAUCAUUUUAAAUUAUGUUACAAAUCUGAUGAUAUUUAAUUAGAAUUUUAAAUUAUACUUAAAAAUUCGAUGAUAUUUAAUUGUGAUUGUUUAAAAUCCAAUAAAAUUUGAUGGUCAUAUAUAUGGGUUAUUGAAACGCUUAAUCUAAGCAUGUAUUACAAUAGCCCUGAAGAUUUUGACAUAAUUAAACACUACUCAAAGUAAUAUUACAACGGCCAAAAUUAAUUAAUUAAUUAAUGGGUCCCACAUGUACCCUCCACUCAUGGACCCCACUUUAAUUGAUAAAUUAAUUAAUUAAUUAAUUAAUUAGUGGGUCCCACGUGUGGGCUCCACCCCUAGUGGGCCCCACGUGUGGGCACCACUUUACUAAAAUAAUUAGAUUAAUUAUAUAAUGUGUUAAGAAAUUAGUGGAUCCCACGUGUAGGCUCCAGUUGUGGACUCAUCAUGUGGGCCCCACUUUAAUUAAUGUGGGCACCACUUUAUUUAAAUAAUUAAUUAAAUUAAAUUAUUUAAUCAAUUAAAUUAACUAAAUAAUGAGUGAUUUAAUUAAUUUGUGGGUCCCACGUGUAGGCUCUACUUGUGGACGCACCAUGUGGGCCCCACUUUAAUUAAUUAAUUGAUUAAUUAGUGGUUCCACAUGUAUUCUUAGUAUGUAAUUAAUUAAUUACUUGAUUAAUUAGUGUUGUCCUAAUUUUCAAGAAAAAAAUUAAACAAUCAAAUAAUAUAUUUUAACCAACCUUUAAUUUAUUUUUACUAAAAUAUUAACAAAAUUAUGUCACAAAUUAAAUUAUAAAAGCAUUAUAUAUGAUAUAAAUAUUUUAUUAUACAUUAAUAUUAUAUAAAAUACUAAUAAUAAAUAUAUUUAUUUAUUAGUUACAUUGAGAAUAACUGAUAUUAUUACAUUUUCAAUGAGCUAUAUAUGGUUGUUUUAUAAAAAUUUUUAAAAAAAUCAUCCUUCCGUAUUCAUAGGGAUUGUAGGUAUGUAGUAUUAAACCACAACUAGCAAAGAAAAAAAUUACGUAAAGAAAUAUGAAAUCGAUAUAGAUUCAAUGUUACUGCACUUCAAUUGAUAAAUAUAUAAUUGAUUAGGGAAAUCAUAUUUAAAUAAAAUAAACAUGAUGCACUUUGUAUUAACAAUUAAUAUAAUCCAUACUGUAUUAAUGGCUCUAUUUUUAAAUUAUACGAAUAAGAGUCUGAUAAUCUUUUUUAACUUUAUGCGUUCUUUAUCAGAUCUUUUCCCCAAAGAACAGCCUCGGGAUAAUACCUUUAUUGUUAUGUAUAAUCAAAUAUACAAGUAAUAUUCGACUUAAGCAGCCAGCCAGCGAAUAGGCGAUUCUUAAAUGACGCGAUGUGCUUUAAAAUUAUCAUUUCAAAAUUCUGUCUGAGCAUAUCUCUUAAACCCAGGAUACGUUUAGAUAACCAUGGACAAUGGACAUCAUACAUUUGGAAUACUCACCAUGAAACGCACCAUAAAAGGCACAAAAUAAAAUGAUAUUUUGGACCCAUCAUCUGCGUAUGAUCAAAUAACAAGCAACAAAAUGGAUCCUAGUCACCGGUACGAUAAAGGUAAUAAUAAUUAUAAACUUUAUUUUUCAAUCAUAUGCUUCAAGAAGUCUAUCAAUUUAAAUAAUAAUUAUAUCUACCCAGACUAAUUGAUCAUUAAAAUAUUUUAUAUAAAUUAAAUAAUAUAUUAUUUAAAAUAUGAACUUCAGAUUUUAUUCAUAAUAUAUGUUAAAUUCCACAUAGCUUUCAAAUUAUACUUGUAGAUGCUGUAUGGUUUUCAAUUAAUGAAUUGAUUCUUUUUUAUAUAUAAAAAAAAGAAGUUAACAUUGACAUUAACUCAAUUUAAAUGACUAGGUUAUAACUAUUAUUGUUCACUUUUAAUACAUAAUUUUUAUGUACUAUUAUGAUACUUAUUAUAAUUUAAAUAUUUUUAAGUUAUAUAAAUUAUUAAAAUAUAAAAUUAUGAGAGAAUAAUAUGAUUAAAUAAAUUUUUUAUUUGAUGGUUGAAUAAUUUCUUAAUAAUUAAGUAUGUCAAAGGACUAAUUAAAAAUUAGCUCGAACAUGUGUAUUUUAAGGAGAAUGUUAAAAUGUGAUUUUUAACAUGUUAUAAUUUAAGAAGACGUAUAAACUCAUAUAUAAACCAACCAAUCAACCUUUUAAUAUUUCAUUAUUAAUGAUUAAUAAUAUAAUAUAGAAAAUAUUAUAAAUUAAAGAGACGUAUAAAUCCAAACGAUCAAUAUUUUGGUUUAAUAGAUAAUAAAGGAUAUAUUGUAAAAAGUUAUAUAUCAAGAAGUUCUGUUGGUCGUCGAAUACCAAUCCGCUGAACAAACUCGACUUACAGAGGACCGAUCAACUGUUUAAACUUUAAUAAUAUAAUAAUAUAUAAUAUAGUAUAAAUUUAUAAUAUUACUUUCAAAGUAAGACUAUUAGAGUAUUUAAAAAUAAUGUUAAUAUAUUUUAGUUGAAAAAUAUCACUGAUUAUUUAUUAAUAGUUAUAUAUAAUGUUAUACUUUUAAUACAUGUCGCUCGUGUUAAUUAUAAUAUAUUAAUUUUAAAUUAAUUAGAAAAUCUAAAAAAGAUAAUGUGUUUUAGUAAAAAAAAAAUGAUAUUUUUGAUAACAUAUUUUAUACUUAUAUAUCUAUGAGAUAUAUGGAUGCAUACGAAUGAUUGGAACUUUUGAGGAGGAAAUGAAGUAUCUUCGCUCCGUUUACAAGAAUAUUUACUCCCUCCGUCCCACCAGAUUCUUUACGUUACUUUUUGGCACGCAUUUUAAUGCUCUUAUAAAGUAUACUUACAUUAUAUAUUUAUUUUUGAAAAAAAUCCUGAAAAAAAGUUUGACGUUUAAACUUUUAUUCAAAAAAAGAAAAAAAUUAAAAAUACGUUAUAGAACUAUACUUUACGAGAGCCUCAAAAUACGUGCAAACAGUGUACGUAAGCAUCCUGCUGGGACGGAGGGAGUAUUAUCUAACUGAUACGUUAUUAGAAUAAACAUUAUGUAUAUAUAUCUAUUUACUCCAAUACAACCGAAAAUUAAUAAAAUUAACACAAGUCAAGUGUGCGGUAGACUGAUCAUGAGCAAUUGUUUACCACCUUUUGCCUUUGAGAAUUAGUCCUUGAAACAGUAUACUCGGACAUGAAGACUAAAGUAUUAACUUCUGAAGACCUAUAAAGUUAAAUUAUUGUGUGUCUAUACUAUAAUAUAGUUAAUAAAUAUUUUAAAAAUCCAGUGUUAAUUGUUUCCUUUUACACGUGCAGCUAGGAAUACUAGUGUAGAAAGAUUCAACGCGAAGCUCGUGGAGUCGUGGUCAUGGGAUGGGGAUGCCAAUUAAAAAAAGAAGUUUUCUAAGUUGGAAUAUGCAUGCAUGGCUUUAAAUUAUAGCAGGCUUGCAGCGCAUAUUCAUUUACCUUUCUAAAUAAGUAAACAUGCCAUGCAUUUUUGCCAAAAUUACUUUAUAAAAGAUUCACUAUAACUCAACUUAUUGAGUUUUUCGAAAGAAAAUUAUAAUCUGUGUCUGCCUGCUUUUUUGCUUCAGGCCUCUAGGACGCAUACACCCAGGGGCCUAGCUAAACUUUUGAACUAGUGGGGGCAAAAUAUAAGAGAGAGAAAAAGAAAAGAACAGGGGUAAAAAAUUUGCUAUAAAAACUGCCAGAAGAGAUCGAACUUCUGCCUCUGGGUUAACAUAAAACACUCAAUCAUGAGGGUAAAUAAAUAAUUUAUUGAAAAUGAUACUAAAAAUAUAUAUUUACUGGGAAGAUCAGUGAGGACAAGUACCCCCACUGCACCCCUCUAAAUACGUCCCUCAUGCACCGAGCAGUGAGCACCCACCGACUCUACUUGCUAUAUAACUUGGUCUCUCAAGCGUGAUGAGAUCGUAGCGGUUUGUGUUUUCAGCAUUGUGUUUUCAAGCACCUGAAAAUUAAGGUUGUGUUCCAUGGAAUGAGGUGAAUAGAUGAAAUAAAAAAUUAUACAGAAAUUUUAUGCAUAAGAAAUUAAUAAAUUAUCUGUAAUAUUUAAAUUUUAUAAUGAAAUUUAUAAGAAACAAUAUGAAGAAGUGAAAUGAACAUUUCUUUCAAAAUAUUUAGGUUAGAAUUUUAAUUUAAAUAUUCAAAUAAUUUGAAAUGGAAAAAAUGAACUAAUAAAAAAUCGACCAAAAUUUGACUGAAAUUUAUUAAUAUUUUGUGAAUUGAUAAUAUAAAAAAAAUAUAUCACUGGAAAUAACUUUUAAUCUACUUUAAGGUGUAAUUUUUCGUUUUUCAAAAUAAUGAAAAAGUGACUUAUAAUCUUUGGUUAAAAACUAGUCAAUUUGACCGAUAAAAAUAGAAAUGUGACAACUAAAAAAGGACGGAGGAGGGAGUAUAAAACUAAAAUUUAACUUUCUAAUUUAAGAGAUUUAAUGAAUUAAUUUUUUUAGUUGUGAGGCUUGCACUUGAUAUCAUUUAAUUUAAUAACAACAUUAAAUAUUAUAGUUUUACUUAUCCGACAAACUAGCAAGAUUAAUUUUAAUGAUGAGGUAUAUUUUUAAAAUAAAAUUUAUUUUUAUUUUAAAUGUAUAUAUAAUUUUAAUUUAUAAUUAAUGUGAGAUUUACUCAGGUCAUUAUAGAUUUAGCAAUAUGAUGGGAUGCAGGCAAGAAUGUUUUUUCUCCUCAAUGUAAUCAAAUUUUUAUGUGUUGUCUAAUAUUUGUAAUGUGCCAUAUAUGUUGAGCAUGUUGACUUUUUCUUAAUAAAAAUAGGAUGUCGUUUUAGGAAGAGAAUUCCACACUAACAUAACAAUUUCUAGAAUUAAAUAUUUUAAUAAAUUUUUAAGCAUAAAUUUAUAUAUCUUUUCAUAAAUAAAUUUAUUUCAAACUUACGAUAACACAAAUAGAUAUAUGUAAUUCCUUCCAAUUAUAAUAUUACACAUAUAUUACAAAUUAAUAAAAAUAUAUUUGUAGUUCACAGCAUAACUCAGACUUACAUAUACAAUCAAUCUAACAUAUAUCUAUCUUCGCAGCUACUUCUCGAGAGGUUUAACUAUUAAUUGCAUCCCUUGAGUUGGCCUGAGGGAGAGCAUAAUAGCAGGCGAAUGACAAUACGAAGGUGACAAAGAGAAAGAAAACCUAGUUAAAAUUAGGGCUAAAACAAUCUUGUACUCCAUGGUGGCCAAGUUUCUACCAACACACAUUCUUCCUCCGAAACCAAAAGGCACAUAACCCAUC